rnacentral:misc_RNA from 1 species
AGGCCGGUGUGCGCGCCAUGGCGCGGGUGAUGGCGUCCGAACUGUCGCCGCGCGGUAUCCGCGUCAAUCUGGUUUCGCCGGGCGCGACUCGCACGCCGAUCUGGGGCGAUCGUUUCGCGUCGCCGGAGGCUUUCAAGCAGCAGCUCGAGCAACGCAUGUCGCUCUCCACGCCGCUCGGACGGAUCGGCGAGCCGGAUCAU